rnacentral:lncRNA from 1 species
UUGGUAAUAGAUGGAUUGCUUGGGUGUGCUCCUUGUUAGAUUCCUCUGGUGCUGGUCAUUGACAAUUCCUCCGAUCCUUGGUUUAUUAAUCGCAUAGGAUUGAAACAAGGUAAUCCGCUACCUCGUCUCUUUUUUAUCUUGGUGGUUGAUACUCUAACUAGGAUCUUGAAGACAGCCAAUUCAGAGGGGCUGCUGGAUGGUAUUGG